AAAGGAACUGGAGACAGAUGACAGCGGAGAGGGGAAGAGGAAGAGGAAGGAGGGACUUGGUGGGCGGGGAGAGAGGCCAGGCGAGCAGAAAAGAAAACGGGAGCUGAAAGAAGAUAAGCAGAGGAAGUCGGGGCAAGAAAAUGCAAAGGGAGAGAGAGAAGAAGAGGAGGGUGGGGGAAGCUCAGCUUUGCGGGGGCUUGGCAGAGACUCUUCCUCCAGCCAACUGAGGAAUCUGCCUUCCUAAAAUCCAUCUGGAGCCCAGCGCACCCCAACCUGGGGAGAGGGAAGUACUGAUGUGCCUUGUCUGGUGGCAUGGUCCUGGUGGUAUUCCUUCAGCACACCCCGUCCUGGUCCCCAGGCAUCUGCAAGGACAAGCCUCUUAAAACUUGUUGCACUCUUUCUUCCAAUUCCUGGUCAAAUUCAUCUUCCCCUGUGAGCUUUCCCCAUUUAACUCCACCUGACCUCAAACACCAGGACUCCUCUCCGCCUUUCAGUCUACUCUGGAGUAUUGAUCUGCGCUUGCUUCUGUGAUCCUCCCUUGCCACAGUCUUCAGUGGAACCAUCUUCUGCUGUUUGGAAUCUACGGUCCUUCAGGGCAGACUGAAGAUCCUGGGCCAUUAAAUAUCCUUCAAAUGACCUCCUUCCUUAGUCCUCAUCUUCAGGCUACCAUGAGUCAGAAUUCUCCGCUGCAAGUCCCACUAACCAACUCUCUCUGUUAGAAGCACAAAUAAAAUAUGAAAUCUACA
rnacentral:lncRNA from 1 species